UUUUUUUUUUUUUUUGGCCAUGCCCACGGCGGCAUGCAGAAUUUCCCAGACCAGGGAUCACGCCUGCACCACAGCAGUGACAAUGCCAGAUCCUUAACCUGCUGAGCCACAAGGGAACUCCAAGUAUAUGAAGCCUUCGAAGAUAAUUCCCAGUCCAACUCGCUGCCCCUGAGAUCCCUGCAACAAAGUCAAUAUGUGCAAAUAAAAUUUCCCAUCUUAGAGUUCCCACUGUGGGUGCAACAGGAUGGGUGGCUUUUCUGAAGCACCAGGACACAGAUUCAAUCCCUGGCCGGCACAGUGAGUUGAAGGAUCUGGCAUUGCUGCAGCUGUGGUGUAGGUUGCAUCUGCAGCUUGGAUCUGUUCCCUGGCCUGGGAACUUCACAUGCCUCAGAAAAAAAAUUUUUUUUUCUUUCUUUUUGGAUGUAUCAUUGGACACUCAACUAGCCUGAGCUAUUGGUGUCAAUACAUAGAUCUUGGCAAGGAUGGUAAUCUGCUACCAGCAGCUGUCAAUCAUCUUAUACACCUGCUUGAGUGGAUCUGAGUGACUUUGGGAGGAUGUGGAUUAUUGGAGAUUCUAGCCUUCACGCUGUCCUCGCCCCACCCCCCACCCCUGCAAAGGGAUUUUCUCAGAGUCACAUGGCUAGUAAGUGGCAAAGCCAGAGGCUGAAUCUCUUCUCCUCACUUGUACACCAGUGAUCACGGAUUAAGGCAACAAGCACACUCAGCACCAUCUCCUACUGCCACCCCAAGUUCCUUUACAAUUACCUCACUCCACUGAGUUCCUUCUUGGUGGGACAGUACAGGCAGGCGUUACAGUACAUCCAUCCUUCUCCACGGAUAUCAGAGGCCAUCUGGAGAGUCCUGCAUAGCCUAUCCAGCAGGUGAGCUCACAGCUAAGCCUGGUUAACCAGCACUCAAGGGCCAUGAACUCUCAAAGGAAGGAAUAAGCAGAUGAAAUACACCCUUCCCAAUAUUGCUGGAAUUUGGCUCUGCUCACAGGUGCCGAACGGAAAUGCAGAGACAGAGUUUUGGGUGAAGGAGAAAAAAUAACUUUAUUGCUUUGCCAGACAAAGGAGGGUCACAGCAGGCUAAUGCCUCAAAGACUGUGCCUCCCUUAGGAGAGAUUGAGAGGUGGUUUUAUAGUUUUUGGAAUGAAAAAUAGGACCACAGAUAAGGAUCCGGUAGAGACAAGCUUGCAUUGUUUUCAAAGCUGGUGUUCAGUGGUCUGGUGGUCUUCUUUCCAGAAUGAAGAAUGUUCAUUAACCUUAUCUAUUUGUUGGGGGUUUAGUUCUCAAAGAUAUUGUUAUAUGUAUCCCUUGAGGGGGAACCAGAACCCUGCCUGCCCAAAGACUGCACUAUUGUCUCUCUCUCUUCCUUUUUUUUUUUUUUUUGUCUUUUUAGGGCCGCACCUGUGGCAUAUGGAGGUUCCCAGGCUAGGGGUCAAAUUGGCCGGUCUACACCACAGCCACAGCAACACGAGAUCCGAGCCGCAUCUGCAACCUACACCACAGCUCACGGCAACACCAGAUCCUUAACACACUGAGCAAGGCCAGGGAUCGAACCCACAACCUCUUGGUUUCUAGUCGGAUUUGUUUGUGGAACUCCUACACUAUGGUCUCUUGACUGCCCCUCCCUGGUCUCUUCAUCCCCUCCCUUCCCUGAUCAGCAACUGUUUGAACCUGCCCUUUGGAACUCAGGGAAGGUCAUAGAGGCUGAAGUUUAUUCCCUAAAAACAAGACAUGGGAGAACAGAAAGGCUUGUGUGCCCAGGAGCCCACAGGGCCCGGCUCAGUUUCACUAUGAGGAGCUACUCAUCAAAUUGUUCCUACUUGGGACUAUUUUUGUCGCUCCUGCUUCCCAUUUCCCCAGGGAUUCUGUGGCCUUCUGGGAAGUUAUGUUUUGCUUGUAUUCAUGAGAGUCCGUUUCUUGCCUGCCAUCAAACAUCUUAUCUCAAAAAAAUUGUCCUUUCUAUUAUGCUUCCUGAUAAUAAAAGGGUCUACCUGGUUUCCCAGGAUGGUAUCUAACCACAGUAUUUUGGGGAUGUUUGAUGCCCUAUGUUUGGAUAAAGUCCUGUAUUGUGGUACAAGUUAAGCUUGUAGGAAAAAGAAAAUAGAGGUAUUUAUUACAUCCUUUCUCACCCCCACCCCCUGCACUAUUUUGAUGCUGGAUUAUUCUUUAUUAGGGAAGGAGGAGGUCCUGUGUAUCAUGUAUAUUUUACAGCAUCCCUGGCCUUUACCACUCGGUACCCAGCUAUGGGCCUUCGUUCAUUUCCUCCCUAUAAACUUCAGUUGUCUUCCGUGGAAAAUGGGAAUAAAACUGCACAUAUAGGAGUUCCCGUUGUGGCUCAGUGGGCUAAGAACCCGACAUAGUGUCCGUGAGGAUGUAGGUUUGAUCCCUGGCCUCACUCAGUGAGUUAAGAAUCAGGUGGUGUCUGUUGUAUAUUUGGCAUUGCUGUGGCUGUGGUGUAGGUCAGCAACUGCAGCUCUGAUGUGACCCCAAGCCUGAACUUUCAUAUGCCACAGGUGCAGCCCUAAAAAGAACAAAAUGUAUAAUGGCACAUAUAGCCAGGGUUGGGAGGAGACAUGAUGAAAUAAUGCCCACUGCCUGGGUGCAGUCAGCCCUCAUCAUGGUUGUGAACAGCACUCAUUCCAUCUUUCCUGGAUGAUGAGGGGUGGCUUGCAGCUGACCAUGUCAGACUCUCCUAAAAUCCACCUGCAGACAUUUUACAGAAUAUGGCUUGAAAGGCCCACCUCCCAAGGAGUUUUGUUAGGCCUGGAGCAGGGCCUAGGAGUUUGCAGGGUUUGUUUGUUUGUUUAUUUAUUUUGUCUUUUUGCCUUUUCUAGGGCCACACCCGCAGCAUAAGGAGGUUCCCAGGCUAGGGGUUUAAUCAGAGCUGUAGCCGUUGGCCUACGCCAGAGCCACAGCAACUCAGGAUCAGAGCUGUGUCUGCGAUCUAUACCACAGCUCAUGGCAACGCCGGAUCCUUAACCCACUGAGCAAGGCCAGGGAUUGAACCCGCGACCUCAUGGUUCCUAUUUGGAUUCCUUAACCACUGAGCCACGGCGGGAACUCCUUGUGGGGGUUUUUUAAGUUUUUUCCUUUUAUUAAAGUAUGGUUGAUUGACCAUGUUGUAUUAAUUUCUGCUGUACAGCAAAUUCAUUCAGUCAUACGGCUAUACAGUCUUUCCUUAAAAUAUUCUUUUCCAUUGUUGAUCACAGGCCAUUGGAUAGAGUUCCUGUGAUCUACAGUAGGAGCUUGUUGUUUAUCCUCUAGGUAUCACAGCUUACAUCUGCUAAACCCUGCCUCCCAAUGCAUCUCUCUCCCAAUGCCCCUACACUUGGCAACCACAAGUCUGUUCGCCAUGUCUGUGAGUCUGUUUCUGUUCUGCAGAUAGGUUCGUUUGUGUCAUAUUUUAGAUUCCACAUAUAAGUGAUAUCACACGGUAUUUGUCUUCCUCUCUCUGACUGACUUCACUUAGUAUGAUGUCUCUGGUUGAUGCAAAUGGCAUUAUUUCAUUUGUUUGUUUGUUUGCUUUUUAGGGCUGUACUUGCGGCAUAUGGAAGCUCCCAGGCUAGGGGUUGAAUCGGAGCUACAGCUGCCAGCCUACACCACAGCUCAUGACAACACUGGAACCUGUAACUCUCUGAGCAGGACCAGGGAUCUGAACCUGCAUUCUCAUGGAUACUAGUUGGGUUCAUCACUGCUGAGCCACAUUGGGAACUCCAGGAGUCUGUAUUUUUAAAAGCUUCCUCAGUUGAUGCCAAUGUGUAGCCAGGUUUGAGAACCAGACAGUCCAACUCUGAGAUUUUAUACCCGAUUCUUUAACUUUGCUCUCUGCCCUUUUAUUUUCAUGCCAGAAAUCCCAGCCUCCAUCCCCUCUAGCCAUUAAUAAGCAUUUAUGACUCUCUGCUGUCCUCCCUCCUUCCAGCCCUGAACAAUUGCUCUUCUCUUAGCAUUUGGCAUUCACCUGCAGGCGUGGGGUGGGUUUCCAAGGUCAGAGAUGGGCAGAGAAUGUUCCCCUUCUACAGCAGUGCUGGCCUGCACGCUGGAUUCAGGAUGCUCUGCAUUACUGAGCCGUUCAGCAGAGAUCUGAUUUAAUGCAGCCCUUGGCUCUGUGUGCACGGCCGAGGGAUACUCAGGAGGAGCACUCAGUGGAAUACUCCAGGGAAGAGCAAAGCUGAGUGCUGGGGAGGGGUGUGAGCAGGGCUGGGCUAUAGCCGAAACCAGCCUCCAUACAUCGGCACCAGUGCAGUCUCAGAGACACAGACUCUGGGAUGAAGCAGAAAGAACAGCUUUAUUGCUCUGCCAGGCAACGGAGGCCACAGCAGGAUAAUGCCUCAAAGCUGUGUCCUCCCCCGAGAGGGGAUAGCAAGACGUUUUUUAUAGAUUUAGCGUGAAAAAACAGGGCUGUUGAUGAGAUUAGGGUCCUGCAUUCUUCUCCCUCCAUAGAUCAUGUCAAAGUCAUCGAGGCCAGAGUCAGGGGGUCGGGUGACAGUUUCUGGUGGUCUUUGGGGUUAUUGCACCUUGACCUUCUCUCUGCAGUGAAGGUUACUCACAAAAGGAAGGGAGUGUGGGGAGUGUUUCAAAGGAAAAGAAAACACCAGGUGCCAUUAACUUUAACCAGAAAGUAACCAUUAGUAAAAGAGAGCAAGGAAGCAAGGAAGAAAUCAUUUGUGAAAAGCCAGGUAGAGGUGGUGAGUGAGCCACGGCAGGAGGUAACAUCAUGGAGACGGUUUUAACUGGUUUUGAGCUGUAACAAUAUUUCCUCAUCAUUCACUCUCCAGUCAGCCUUUUGAGACCGAAGGGAGGCCUGGGAGGCUAAAGGAAAAGCCUCUUCCUUCAAAACACAAGGACUUAAGAGCUUAUACACUGUUUCCGGUACAGAGACUGGCUGCUGCUGCCUCCAUUGAUAAAUCAGCCUCUAGCAGCAGGAGCUCUGUUUUCAAGGAGCUCCGUUCUUGCACGCAGUUAUUUAGAUGCCUUGCCCAGGGCUCCCCCCAUCCCCAGC
rnacentral:lncRNA from 1 species